GCCACCAUGGUGAAAUUGGUAGAGACGCUGCCCUUAGGAAGCAGUGCGAGAGCAUCUCGGUUCAAAUCCGAGUGGCAACA
rfam:Picea glauca, whole genome shotgun sequence.